rnacentral:rRNA from 1 species
AUGGCCCCAUCCGAAGUAGUGAGACAGUUGAUGCGGUCCGGAGGGCGGAGGGUACUGGAGCAGACGCCGAACCUCGAGGUUCUGUCGCUCAACAUGGGAAGACAAAAGGAUGAAGAGGAAGAGAAAGAGGAAGAGGAAGUGGAAGAGGAAGAGGAAGAGGAUGAUGAUGAUCAGGAACUGUACCAUCAGUCCUUGGAUGAUGAUGAUGAUGAUGAUGAUGAUGAUGAUGAUGAGGAGGAGGAGGAGGAGGAGGCCAUGUACCCGGGGCGGUUCAACAGAAGAGGCGUAGAUGAUGAUCAGGAGUGGUACCAUCAGUCCUUGGAUGGUCUUGUGGAGCUCAGAGUUCCCAGCCGGUCGAGUUUUUCCUUGCGGUGCUUGCGCCAUCGAGUGAAGGAGAUCAACAUGGUUAACUAUCGGUGUGAUGUGCAGCAUAGGGUGCUGGCCAGCCUGCUGUUCCGCAAUGCGCUUGUGCUUGAAAGGAAGCGUGUCAUGUUUGUGAAGAAGGUGCCGUCCGAGUUGCAGGCUGAGCUCAUGAAGGAGAUCGAGAGCUGGGUACGUAGUGGCCAAACCAGAAAAGAGAUUCAUGUGAUGAGUUAG